rnacentral:tRNA from 1 species
ACCUGGCUGGCUCAAUCAGAAAAGCAUGUGACUCUUGAUCUCAAGGUCAUGAGUUCGAGCCUCAUGUUGGAUC